AUGAAUCAGAAUUCGAGUUUCACCUCCUACCUCCAAGACCUGAAGACCAGGAGUGACACACUGAUGGAGACACCAGUCAAACGCCUCAAGAUGAGAAUGAAUGGCGGGAUGGGAGCUGCGAACAUGCAGCAGUUCUCUUAUUCACCUAAGCCAAUCCUACCUGCUUCUUCCAGGUAUGAAGGUAACCAGUAUGGCGCUUUGGCGAGACCACAGAGUGUAGAUUCAGCUGACGACUUUGCAACACCCCAAGAGAUGGCUUAUGUUGUGACCUAUGGCCAUGAGUAUAAUGACUACCUGGAAGACAUAUCUCAGACAAAGGGAGAUUUGGAACCACCACCUGUUCAACUUCAAACCCUUACGGAGUUACAAAGCACUUCAAUGUGGAGGAAGCCCAAUGCCUACGAUGGAAGAUCCCUCAGCAAAAGCACCCCCCAAAGCACCCCGCAAAGCCAGAGCAGGUGUUACCCUCAGAGCCACAGCACCCGCCAGAGCAGGGGUUACCCUCAGAGUCACAGCACCCCCCAGACCCAGAGCAGGGUUUACCCUCAGAGUCACAGCACCCCCCAAAGCAGGGGUUUCCCUCAGAGUAAUUGCACACCCGAGAGCAGGGGUUACUCCCAAAGUAUCUCUCAGAGCCAGAGCAGAUGUUACCCUCAGAGUCACAGCACCCCCCAAAGCAGGAGUUACCCUCAGAGCCACAGCCCCCCCCAGAGCCAGAGCAGGAGUUACCCUCCGAGUCAAAGCAUCACCCAAACCCAGAGCAGGGGUAACAGUACCCCCCAAAACCAGAGCAGGUCUUUUUCUCCGAGUUCCAUUGUAGACUUGACCGACGACAGUGGUUGCUUCUCAUCGUCAAUCACCCCCAGCGUGACCUUUGACCUGGGAGACGAGUGGGACGAUUUUGACGACGACAACUUGGUGCACUCCAACGAGAAGCCAUGCACCACUGUUGCUAAAACUAAAGGGGUGGACCUGGACUGUGAUAGGCCAAAAGGAAACUCCACACCACUACCAUCCACUUGCUUACUGCCCAAACCCCGCUUCACUACAUCUAAUUCCCCACUCAGGUCGACCUCCCCAGUUGUUUCUCAGAUACCAGUUACUACUCUCCCAGUCAGACCACACAACCCCCAAGGUACUGCUAGCUGGAGCCACUCUGACAACAAGGCCACAAGGACAUUCAGUGAGCCCCCCAUGAAAACACCACCCUCCUACCCAAAACAGACUGACACCAGCUUGCCCCCCCUGGGAGAACGGUUUGAUUUCUUCUCAAAGACGACUAUCCCAAACAAUGACAAUGUGACUGGCAAAAGGCUCCAGGGAGAGGAUUACAGCAAGGAAGUGGAGGCAUUCAUGGGGAUAUUUGAUGGACUAUUUUAGUAGUGUUUAUAGUUGUAUGGACUGGUUCCAUGAUAAUGUUUCAUGGUGAUUUGUCAUGUUAUUGUGUAUGUAAUUUUUUUAUACUGUUAUUUAUACUGUUUGGUGUUUUAGAUUCACUGUUAGAUUUACUGUUGGUCCUAUUUGAAAAUGUUUAUCUAGGAGUAUGAACGUUCAAUCGUCAUUAGCAGGAUUCCAAAAAUGUAAUAUUUCUAUGUACUUUAUUAAAUUAACACAAUAUUUAUUCAGAGGAAGUCUGAGGGUGUAGAGAGCAAUAGUAAUGGUGUCAUGGACCAUAUAAUGACGUUUUAUUCCCUUUAGUGGACUGUCUUUAAAUUGAAGCUUGUAGCUGCAUUUCCUGUGCUCACUAUGGGAGAAGACAGUAGGGGAUGUAACUCUGAGCUGGAUGUAACAUACAGUAUAGCAUCCAGCUCAGAGUUACAUCCAGCAUCCAGCUUUAGUUACAUCCAGUAUCCAAAUCAGAGUGACAUCAAGCUCACAGUUACAUCCAGGAUCCGGCUCAGAGUUGAAUCCAGCAUCCUGCUGCACUUCCUGUGCUUGCGAUGGGAGAAGAUGAAGAAUCCAGAUAGCAGUUGGUUGUUGUUACCUAAAAGUUCACCAUUUCUAUAUUUAAAAUGUUCAUACCUUCAUCCUGUAUUUGAUAGCCCUUAAGCUGGCACCAUCUGUACGUAUUUACGUUCCUGUAUGUUUUUAUAUGCUUACAUGUUAUUAAGUAAUUUCCUACUUUUUGCCUCAUCAAAUAAAUUGCUAGCCAAACAGUCCUAACCGUUAGCGGUCAACCAUUAGCCAUUGCCAUAGAGAUGUAGUAUUGUUUAGCCCAGCUGUUCGCUAGCCCCAUUCAAAUGUACGGUGCAUUCGGAAAGUAUUUAGACCCCUUGACUUUUUCCACAUUUUGUUACGUUACAUUCUUAUUCUAAAGUUGAUUAAAUUGCUUUUUUUCCUUCAUCAAUCUACACACAAUACCCCAUAAUGACAAAGCAAAACCAGGUUUAGAAUAAUAAUUUUUUUAAACUGAAAUAUAACAUUUGCAUAGGUAUUCAGACCCUUUACUCAGUACUUUGUUGAAGCACAUUUGGCAGCGAUUACAGCCUCGAGUCUUCUUGGGUAUGACACUACAAGCUUGGCACACCUGUAUUUGGGGAGUUUCUCCCAUUCUUCUCUGCAGAUCCUCUCAAGCGCUGUUAGGUUGGAUGGGGAGCGUCGGUGCACAGCUAUUUUUAGUUCUCUCCAGAGAUGUUCGAUCGGGUUCAAGUCCGGGCUCUGGCUGGACCACUCAAGGACAUUCAGAGAAUUGUCCUGAAACCACUCCUGCGUUGUCUUGGCUGUGUGCUUAGGGUCGUUUUCCUGUUGGAUGGUGAAGCUUCGCCCCAGUCUGAGGUCCUGAGUGCUCUGGAGCAGGUUUUUAUCUAGGAUCUCUCUGUACUUUGCUCCGUUCAUCUUCCCCUCGAUCCUGACUAGUCUCCCAGUCCCUGCUGCUGAAAAACAUCCCCACAGCAUGAUGCUUCCACCACCAUGUUUCACUGUAGGGGUGGUGCCAGGUUUCCUCCAGACAUGACGCUUGGCAUUCAGGCCAAAGAGUUCAAUCUUGGUUUCAUCAGACCAGAGAACCUGCUCAAUUUCGAUUAUCAUAGCAUUGGGUCUGAAUACUUAUGUAAAUUAAGGUAUUUCUGUUUAUUUGUAAAACAUUUCUAAAAACCUGUUUUCACGUUGUCAUUAUGGGGUAUUGUGUGUAGAUUGACGAGGAAAAUGUUAUAUUUCAUCCAUUUUAGAAUGAGGCUGUAAUGUAACAAAUUAUGGAAAAAGUCAAGGGGUCUGAAUACUUUCCGAAGGCACUGUUUGUAGCUACUAUUUUCCUAAUUCUCGCUACUUUGUAUGCAAAUGUGUGUGUUUUUGUGUAGUUUUUUUACCCCUUUUUCUCCCAAAAUGUGUAGUAUUCAAUUGGUAGUUACAGUCUUGUCUAAUAGCUGCAACCCCCGUACGGGCUCGGGAGAAGCGAAGGUCGAGAGCUGUGCGUCCUCCGAAACACAACCCAAGCCGCACUGCUUCUUGACACAAUGCCCACUUAACCCAGAAGCCAGCCGCACCAAUGUGUAGGAGAAAACACCGUACAUCUGGCGACUGUGUCAGCGUUCACUGCGCCCGGCCUGCCACAGGAGUGCGCACCGCCUGGACUCGAACCCAGAAUCUCUACUGGCACAGCUAGCACUGCGCCACUCCGGAGGCCCAACAAAUAUAUGUUUAUAUCAGAAUUUUUUUAUUAUUCAUCAAACCUGUAAUUGACCCACACAAUGUUGUUUUGUCACUGUCAUAGGUUAUUCAGCUAUUCAUGUACCCUAUGUGUUAAGAUAUGGUACUCUACUUACUUUUUGUAUCUAUCCUGUGUGCACGUGUUGCAGUUUUACACUUCUGAGGUAAAUCAACUAAAGAUACUGUGUCUCCAGGUGGAAACAUGGAAGACUUAGUGAUUAAGACGACAGUGUAGCUAAAAAAAUAUUUUUUAAAAGCGCUCAAUGGGAGUAAAGCUUAAGUGAGGACAGCACAAAUGGCGUCUGUUUGUAGGCACCAACUCCUGCAUGGUUUGUUGGAAAAAGACUAUGGGAAAAUUAAUGUUUUUUUUGUUGAUAAACUCCAAAAUAAGGUCUGUGGUAAACACAGGUUUAGGAGAUAACUUUCAUCAGCUAUCGUCACUUUUUGUGAAACAUGUAUGUAAUAAAAAAAAAGCACAAAGGCUUGUAGUCCUAAAAACCGGGAAUGAUUUACCAAUUUUUUUUUUAUUAACAACAAAUCAAUUCAGGAAGUACAUGUGAGAACAAAAGUAUAUAUGAUUACUAUACAAUGGACAAUUGGGCUAGGGGGUACAAUAUCACAUUACGCA
ensembl:lncRNA